rnacentral:rRNA from 1 species
UGGGGAAUUUUGCACAAUGGGGGAAACCCUGAUGCAGCGACGCCGCGUGAUUUAGAAGGCCUUCGGGUUGUAAAAAUCUUUUCUAUGGGAAGAAAAUGACAGUACCAUAGGAAUAAGGACCGGCUAAUUACGUGCCAGCAGCCGCGGUAAUACGUAAGGUCCGAGCGUUGUCCGGAAUCAUUGGGCGUAAAGGGUACGUAGGCGGGUAAGCAAGUUAGAAGUGAAAUCCUAUAGCUCAACUAUAGUAAGCUUUUAAAACUGCUCAUCUUGAGGUAUGGAAGGGAAAGUUGAAUUCCUAGUGUAGCGGUGAAAUGCGCAGAUAUUAGGAGGAAUCCCGGUGGCGAAGGCGACUUUCUGGCCAUAACCUGACGCUGAGGUACGAAAGCGUGGGUAGCAAACAGG